GUUUUUACAAUCAAAAAGCCAGUCUUUGAAAGCACAGAAAGUGCAUUAGCAUCCUCUCCCUUGGAGAGAGCUAUUUUUGUCUUUCGUCUUCACAGACUGUGCUCCAAAAUAGGGGAGACGAGUAGCAGGAGGGGAACAAAACAAUAUCCACAAUGUCUCCAGCUCAGAAAGAGCAAAUCACUGCCAUUUCCUCAACAACAACAAUUGCCACAGCAGUAAUGGAGAACAGACUGAGUUGGAGGCAAGCUGCCCUUGGGUAAAGCACAACACGGAUCUCUUUCUGUGGGAUUGCUCUCCAUAUACUUCAUGAAACAAAGCAAAAGCAAGAUAUGGAUGACAGAAAAAGACCCAGAAGAGUAAGCAAAAGACAAGGACUGAGGGGGCUUCUGCCCUAGAUGUGCUAGGUGAUUCAGAGAACUUCCUUCAGGGCUCCUGCCUCAGAGAGCACAGUGUAUUCGGAGGAGAGGAGACG
rnacentral:lncRNA from 1 species